ensembl:rRNA 5S_rRNA 5S ribosomal RNA
UUUGGGAGUUUUCCCAUUCAUAACCCAACAAGAAAAUUCAUUCAAGCAGGGCUGAGCCUGGUCAGUACCUGGAUGGGCGACCUCCUGGGAAAACUAGGUUGCUGCUGGAA